UAUAUAUAUAAGAAGACGUUCAGAGGUGGUGUUGCAUCGUCUCCAUCUUUCGAAAGUCAAGCUAUCUAAAAUGUACCCUAAUAUAAAUCCUGUAUGUGACC